AGAAACCCUCAAAAGGUUAAUAAAUUCGAGUUCGGUCCGUCUCUUCCGCGAAUACCACGCGGAGACGACGACCUCUCUCGCUCGCGCUUUCUCUCUCUCCCCCUCUCCCGACAGACGGAGAAAGAGUGAGAGAUCGAGAGAAGGGAGAAAUAGAUCUCCGAAAACCCUAACACUAACCCCCAUCGCCAGCGAUUGGAGAUCGAAAUCCGCGGUUCAUGGCGUCCUCGCGGGUGAUGGCGUCCUCCUCCUCGGCGAAUUCCGAUCUGACGCGCCAGUCUUCCAUCUGCUCCCUUCCAGUCACCGAUCUCCAGAGCUCCAUCAGCGGCGGCGGAGAGCUCACCAAGAACCUCGGCUCCAUGAGCAUGGACGACCUCUUCCGCAACAUAUGCGGCGACAACCCCGUGGCCUUCGCAGGCGGCGCGGAGGGUGGAGUCUCGGUGUCCCGGCAGGGUAGCUUCGCGUUUCCGAAGAGCGUCGGCGAGAAGUCAGUGGAUGAGGUGUGGCGGGAGAUCACCGCCGGCCGGAAGGCGGACGGCGGGGAUGGACCCGGAUCGGAGAUGACGCUGGAGGACUUCCUGGCGAGGGCCGGGGCGGUGGGGGAGGACGACGUCGGCGUUCCGUCGGGAUCGAGCCAGGUGGCGUUUCAGCCGCAUCCGGUAGUGGGGGAUCGGUUGGGGCAGCCGCAACAGUUGCCCGUGGAGAAUCCUGCUUUGGGGCUUGGGAAUGGAGCGGAGGGUGUUGGAAAGGUAGGGAGAGGGAAGAAGCGAUCGGUGUUGGAUCCGGUGGAUAGGGCUGCGCUACAGCGGCAGAAGAGGAUGAUAAAGAACAGGGAGUCCGCAGCUAGAUCGAGGGAGAGGAAGCAGGCUUAUAUUGCUGAGCUUGAAUCUUUAGUCGCACAGUUGGAGGAAGAAAACGCACAGCUAUUGAGAUCUCAGGAACAGCAGCAAAAGAUGAGAGUUAAGCAGGUAUGAGCAUCCAACAGAAAUCAAAGUGCUCCCUGUUGUUUCUCCCAUCACAAAUGAGUUUAUCAGUUUAAAGUCGCAUGUUGAAGAUACUCAUUCUAUUUGAAUUAUUUUUACACACAUUUAUAACCAUUAUGUUAUGUCUAUGGCCCUGCUCAUAAAAAAAGAAUAAUUUUAUUCUACUGAUUCUGAUGCAUGGGAAUUUUAGUAUCUGUAAGCUAACCAAUUUAGUACCUUACUAUGUUUUCAUAGAAAACAACUUUUGAUUUUUUUUGUUUUUACUUGAACUAGUUUUAAUGGUGACAAUAGGAGCAUGUAUAUCUCAUAUGCCGCUUAGGAGAUGAUUCAGGCUUUGUAUUAGUCUUCGGGCCUUAAUGGUGGAGUUGUAUACUAAGUGGGUGAAGCUAUAUAAUGAUUCACUGUGUCGAAUAUGCCUACUAUUGAAAUCCUGGGUUUAAGCACAAAUGCCAUGUAGUUUAAGGCAUCUGAGUUAUUGGGUCAGUGGUUCUUUUAGACUGGGUCAUGCACCUGUAUGCUACAUAUUAGUUAACAUGUGUAUCUUAUUUGUCUCAGUUUGAUGCAUGACAUUGUUUAUUAGCUUUAUUCAAGACAACAUAUUCAACAUGCGAAAUAACAUGGUAGUUGUACAAUGUAUUGGUUGGUGAAUUAACUUCAUUUACGUCGAUAGCUCUAUCCAAAACCAUCAAAAAAUUGAAAAGGUAAGAAUACAUGUCUUGUAAACUAACUUUACUCAUAUUGUGAAGAAAACCAAAACUAUGUUUCUCUAAAUAAGCAAAAAAAAAAAAGACUGGAAAAACCUGAUGUAAUUUUUCUUUUCUUGGUUGAUUUAUUAUUUUCUUAUUUCACUCUAUUAUUUAUCUAGCCUGUAACUUUGGAAUUGCUUAAAUUAUGAAAGUUAGUUCACCGACCAAACCAAACAUAAUGAAAACACCAUGGGUUGUCUUUCCUGUGUAUGUGUGUGCAAGGAUACACUUGCAAUGAUGUUUCUGUUACUUGCCUAUUUCAUAAUUUAGUGAAAGAUGAUAUGCCAACACGAUAUUAAAACUUGGCUGAAGCUUAAGACAUGUAAGCUAUUGCAUGAUUUACCAUGAUCAUCCAUGUUUAUUUAUGUGACAUGAUAUACAAUUUUAAUAUACACCACAUGCAUGCUAAUAAGAUAUUUGCAACUAUUUUGAUUUCUUUAACAUUUCAUCAAUGUAAAGGUUCUUUCUAUGGAAAGCAUAUGUACUUCUUGGUAUGAAUGCCCAAAAUAAUCUCAUAGAAUUCCAUUUUAAGAUAUUUAAUAUGAGCAUUUUGGGAUUUUUUUAAUGUGUCGUGGAUUUAUUUCUGAUCUUAUAAAAAUUUUGAUUUAUUACAUUAUAUUUGUAUUUGAUAUUCUGACAUGUUAGUUCCAAGACUCUUGCCUUCUCAGUAACGUCAACCGUGGUGUGGGCUCACCUUAAGUCCUUAUUGGUCUCCUCUGUAUGAUAUCUUUAUAUUUCUGGUUUCUAUCUGACUGCUAUUGAUAAAAGUGACAGUGUCAGUAAUAUAUGUAGAAGUAGGAUGAGGUUAGGCAUCUAAUAUGUCUCGGUAAUUUAGAAUUUUGUUCAUUUUGCUUCAUAUUUACCUAUGCACUUAUAUCCAAGAUCAUGAAAUUUACUAAUUUAUGAAGCUUGCACUUAUCAUGUCUCUUAAUCUGUCUUGAGCUGUCUGGUUGGGCUAGUUGAAUCCGAACUCAAAAGCUAUUUACCCAAGAACAUACUAAAGCUUUUGGAAAACAUAGUACCAGUUACUGAGAUGAAAAAACCACGCCGAAUUCUGCGAAGAACUUGCUCUAUGGAGUGGUAGAGAGAGAGAGAGAAAGAGAGAGAGGGGGUAUCAAAGUUAGACUCAGGAGAUCUGUUUCCAGUGAUCCUUUUGAGUGGAUUUUUUUGCAGUGUAUAAAGAGAACCCAUCGAUCCAGGACAGGUAGUAGAACAACAUUUGGGCGUCAUGAAGGAUGAUGGCUGUGUUAUCAUCUCAUUGUUUAGCUAUAUUAUCUUCAUUAAAAGGAGUGGUAUCGUACAGAAAGAAACAUAAAUAAGCAACAGACGCUAACCACUCACAAACCCUGACUAUCUGAUUUCUCAAACUUGUUUCCAUGGUUUUAAUUCAUACCCUUUUUAGGUGUUGUUCCUGUUCA